rnacentral:pre_miRNA from 2 species
CCCCUUAGAGGAUGACUGAUUUCUUUUGGUGUUCAGAGUCAAUAGAAUUUUCUAGCACCAUCUGAAAUCGGUUAUAAUGAUUGGGGA